rnacentral:rRNA from 1 species
ACGGAGGGUGCAAGCGUUAUCCGGAAUCACUGGGUUUAAAGGGUGCGUAGGCGGCGUUAUAAGUCAGAAGUGAAAGCCUGCAGCUUAACUGUGGAAUUGCUUUUGAUACUGUAAUGCUUGAAUCUGGUUGAGGUUAGCGGAAUGUGACAUGUAGCGGUGAAAUGCUUAGAUAUGUCAUAGAACACCAAUUGCGAAGGCAGCUGACUAGACCUGUAUUGACGCUGAGGCACGAAAGCGUGGGGAGCGAACAGG